rnacentral:rRNA from 1 species
AGUUNGANCAUGGCUCAGGAUGAACGCUGGCGGCGUGCUUAACACAUGCAAGUCGAACGAAGCACUUUAUUUGAUUUCCUUCGGGACUGAUUAUUUUGUGACUGAGUGGCGGACGGGUGAGUAACGCGUGGGUAACCUGCCUUGUACAGGGGGAUAACAGUUGGAAACGGCUGCUAAUACCGCAUAAGCGCACAGCAUCGCAUGAUGCAGUGUGAAAAACUCCGGUGGUAUAAGAUGGACCCGCGUUGGAUUAGCUAGUUGGUGAGGUAACGGCCCACCAAGGCAACGAUCCAUAGCCGACCUGAGAGGGUGACCGGCCACAUUGGGACUGAGACACGGCCCAAACUCCUACGGGAGGCAGCAGUGGGGAAUAUUGCACAAUGGGCGAAAGCCUGAUGCAGCGACGCCGCGCGAGCGAAGAAGUAUUUCGGUAUGUAAAGCUCUAUCAGCAGGGAAGAUAAUGACGGUACCUGACUAAGAAGCACCGGCUAAAUACGUGCCAGCAGCCGCGGUAAUACGUAUGGUGCAAGCGUUAUCCGGAUUUACUGGGUGUAAAGGGAGCGCAGGCGGUGCGGCAAGUCUGAUGUGAAAGCCCGGGGCUCAACCCCGGUACUGCAUUGGAAACUGUCGUACUAGAGUGUCGGAGGGGUAAGCGGAAUUCCUAGUGUAGCGGUGAAAUGCGUAGAUAUUAGGAGGAACACCAGUGGCGAAGGCGACUUUCUGGACCGUAACUGACGUUGAGGCACGAAAGUGUGGGGAGCAAACAGGAUUAGAUACCCUGGUAGUCCACACCGUAAACGAUGGAUACUAGGUGUAGGGAACGAUAUGUUUUCUGUGCCGAAAGCAAACGCAAUAAGUAUCCCACCUGGGGAGUACGGCCGCAAGGUUGAAACUCAAAGGAAUUGACGGGGGCCCGCACAAGCAGUGGAGUAUGUGGUUUAAUUCGAAGCAACGCGAAGAACCUUACCAGGGCUUGACAUAUACAGGAAUACUUAAGAAAUUAGGUAGUCUUUCGAGACUUGUAUACAGGUGGUGCAUGGUUGUCGUCAGCUCGUGUCGUGAGAUGUUGGGUUAAGUCCCGCAACGAGCGCAACCCCUAUUUCUAGUUGCCAGCACGUAAAGGUGGGAACUCUAGAGAGACUGCCGAUGAUGAAUCGGAGGAAGGUGGGGACGACGUCAAAUCAUCAUGCCCUUUAUGUCCUGGGCUACACACGUACUACAAUGGCCGUAACAGAGAGAAACGAAACAGCGAUGUGGAGUAAAACUUAAAAAAGCGGUCUCAGUUCGGAUUGAAGGCUGAAAUUCGCCUACAUGAAGUUGGAGUUGCUAGUAAUGGCAGGUCAGCAUACUGCCGUGAAUACGUUCCCGGGCCUUGUACACACCGCCCGUCACACCAUGAGAGUUGGAGAUACCCGAAGCCUGUGAGCUAACUUUUAGAGGCAGCAGUCGAAGGUAGAGCCAAUGAUUGGGGUGAAGUCGUAACAAGGUACCC